rnacentral:rRNA from 1 species
CUACGGGAGGCAGCAGUGGGGAAUAUUGGACAAUGGGCGAAAGCCUGAUCCAGCCAUGCCGCGUGUGUGAAGAAGGCCUUCGGGUUGUAAAGCACUUUCAGUGGGGAAGAAAGCCUUGGGGCUAAUACCCUCGAGGAAGGACAUCACCCACAGAAGAAGCACCGGCUAACUCCGUGCCAGCAGCCGCGGUAAUACGGAGGGUGCGAGCGUUAAUCGGAAUUACUGGGCGUAAAGCGCGCGUAGGCGGUCUGAUAAGCCGGUUGUGAAAGCCCCGGGCUCAACCUGGGAACGGCAUCCGGAACUGUCAGGCUAGAGUGCAGGAGAGGAAGGUAGAAUUCCCGGUGUAGCGGUGAAAUGCGUAGAGAUCGGGAGGAAUACCAGUGGCGAAGGCGGUCUUCUGGACUGACACUGACGCUGAGGUGCGAAAGCGUGGGUAGCAAACAGGAUUAGAUACCCCAGUAGUC